rnacentral:rRNA from 1 species
GUCCACGCCCUAAACGAUGAAUACUCGCUGUUAGCGAUAUACAGUUAGCGGCUAAGCGAAAGCGUUAAGUAUUCCACCUGGGGAGUACGCCCGCAAGGGUGAAACUCAAAGGAAUUGACGGGGGCCCGCACAAGCGGAGGAGCAUGUGGUUUAAUUCGAUGAUACGCGAGGAACCUUACCCGGGCUUGAAAGUUAGUGAAUUAUCCAGAGAUGGAUAAGUGAGCAAUCACACGAAACUAGGUGCUGCAUGGCUGUCGU